rnacentral:rRNA from 1 species
GUAUGGGGCAAGCGUUAUCCGGAUUUACUGGGUGUAAAGGGAGCGUAGGCGGCCCUGUAAGUCUGAUGUGAAAAUUUGGGGCUCAACCCCAAACGUGCAUUGGAAACUGCAGGGCUUGAGUGCCGGAGAGGCAGGCGGAAUUCCUAGUGUAGCGGUGAAAUGCGUAGAUAUUAGGAGGAACACCAGUGGCGAAGGCGGCCUGCUGGACGGUAACUGACGCUGAGGCUCGAAAGCGUGGGGAGCAAA